rnacentral:misc_RNA from 1 species
ACAAAAUAAUACAAAAAAUUUAUUAGAAAGUUAAUUUAUUAUUUUAUUUAUAAAAAUUAGGAUGAAUUUGUAAUGUUAAUAUCAAAAAAAUAAAUAUAAAUAUAAAAAAUAAAUUUAUUUAAAAUUAAAAUUUUAUUUAUUAUUAAAGAGUAAAUAUAAUUAUUAGUAAUAUAUAUAGUAUUUGUAACAAAAUAUCAAUAAUUAGAAAGAUUAUGAAAACUAAAUUAGAAGAACUAAAAACUAUAUUUUUAUUAAUUAGAAUAUUUGAAUAAUCUCUUUAAUCAUAUAAAAUGCAUAUACUUGUAAUAUUUAAAGGUGAUAUUAAUAUUAUUAGUGUAUAUUAAUAUUCCCUUGAAAUUAAAAAAACAUAGAUAUUUCAGUAAUCUAAAAUAGUCUACAAAAAUAAUAGUUUUAUCAAAAUUAAUAAGAAUACAUAUAGAUUUAAACCUAAAAGUAUGAACAUGUCUGUUUUUUACAAGAUUAAAAUUUAUAUUAUAUGAUAAAAUUAAAUU